GGGCUCGUGGUUUAGUGGUAUAAUACUCCCUUAGCAUCUUGAGCAUCUCGCAUCUACUUUGUAGAUUACAGAUAUCGAAAUCCUGACUUGGGAGUGGUCCGGGGUUCGAUUCCCCGCGAGUCCA
rnacentral:tRNA from 1 species